rnacentral:sRNA from 12 species
UACACCCUGCUGCUUGCGAAGUCUCAGGUUCCACCUAAGAUACGCCUAAACGCAAUCUGUUGAUAUGCUACAGGCAUAGCAAGAGCGGGGUUUU